rnacentral:rRNA from 1 species
UACGUAGGGUGCAAGCGUUGUCCGGAAUUAUUGGGCGUAAAGAGCUCGUAGGCGGUCUGUCACGUCGGCUGUGAAAACCUGGGGCUCAACUCCGGGCCUGCAGCCGAUACGGGCAGACUAGAGUUCGGCAGGGGAGACUGGAAUUCCUGGUGUAGCGGUGAAAUGCGCAGAUAUCAGGAGGAACACCGGUGGCGAAGGCGGGUCUCUGGGCCUGU